AAAGUUUCUUUGUUGGCGAAGAGUCAGUUCUGAAGCUAAUAAGGAAAAUUAAAACAGGUGAUGCAGUGGCUAUCUUCAAAGGGGAGAGUUUUGAGUGCAAAGUAUAAUGGAAGACAAAGAAGAAACUGGGUUAUAUGUCUCUGAAUAAAUGGUCUUCCAUCAGAAAAAGAUUAAUUUAAAAUCACUGUUCUAGUUCUUAUAUUAAAGAUGGUUUAAUUCACCCAGAGCUAUUUGGCCUAGAGAAUGAAUUCCUACAAUUAAGUGUUUAUGAUUGAAAGUGCUGCCAUGGAAAGCAGACAGAUGAAUAUCAUUUCAGGAGUACUGCGAAUCAUUAAAUGAGUUGUAGAACCUUUUCCUGGGCAUGAGCCACUUCUAAAUUUCAGGCUAAGGCUAUAAUAGACUUCAGUAUAAGGCCUGAUGGGCUGCUGUAUUUAAGAGCUUGAAUAACAGGAUAAUCAGUGUGUACUGAUGUGCUUAUAUAAUUUUCAACUUCUUACAGUUAAUUGAAAAUAUGCUGCCCAUGGUAUAGGUAUGUGCUGCUUGGAUCGAAUACUCUUUUCAGAUGAGUGCAUUGUGAGUUUGAGGUAAUAAACUUAACCUGCCUCUGACGUGUUGGCUUCUUUUGGCUCAAUACAGGCAUGGCUGCUUUCCCCACUUCAGUGUAAAGACAGGCUGGACGUGGAAUGUCACACAAACCUGGACAGUUGACAAGAAAACAGUGCUAGCUGCCAGCUACCUUCUCUAUUUGUCAUGAUUAGUGCUUGUUUUAUGUCAGGAAGGCUCAAGGCAUCAUCCUGUAACUGAUUGGCAUGUUGGGAAGUUGUAAACUGAAAUACAGGCCAGACAGACAGACUGGCAUUUUUUGGGCUCAGCAGAGGAAGCAAACACAAAGCUUCCUGGUUAGGGAAAGAGCAUUGGUCCACAGCUUGCCUUUUCUUGGCACAGCCUGUCCAUUCCCAGGAUUGCUUACCCGUCCUGUAAGCAGUUUUGCCAGAUGUUUGCCAGUGAUGUUACCAGUAGAGGCAGGCACGGCAGGAGGGAGCAUGAGCUUUCCAGUGGAACACCUGACAGCAGGGAUCUGCUGCAGGGUAGUGAAUGGGAACAUACAGAGAGGCCAUGUAGCAGGGCCUCUGUCAGGCCAAUAAAAAGAUAAGGCUUGGGUUCAUCAAAGGGGAGUGUCAACUGGGGCAUCUCUGAACUGGACUGGACAAUCUUGAUGACUCGGGUUGCUUACAGAACAGUUGUUAUGGUGUGAGUUGCUAGUUUUGAAUGUAUCACUAAGUCUGUAACACACUGAUUCAGAGUUAGUAGUAUGAACAGGCAAACAGUCUGAGCUCAGGCUGUCUGUAAAAACAAUGGUCACAACUACCUGAUUUCAGGAAGCAUGCUUGUAUUUCUAAAUAAAAAUAAGUCCCUGAUGCCAAGAGGCUUGGCUUAUAUCCACGCUAGCUAGGGCUAGUUUGCUCUAGAGCAUACUCAUAUCCCACAGUACUCCUUGGACACUUUCUGGACCCUACAGACUCAACAUAUAAUUCAGAUUUUUUUGUUUUAUCUUUCAGUUUGAAGCAUCUGAAAUGAUGUUAAACUGUACUGCAGGCAGUGAGACUGGUGCUUUCCUAGGAUGAAGUGAGGUAAAGAUUACUAGUAAUGUGCUUAUGAACAAGAAGUUGUCCCAGUUAUCGGUCUUUGGGAGGAUUAGGAUUCCUGCGUCUUCUGUGAUACCUAGAAGAAAAAAAGGCUGCAGUGAAUGAAAGCUUUGGACAGUCUUGGAUUUCCCUUAUGCUUUCACCCCCAGCAAGUGAUCUCAGUUUCAUCACUACUUACUCUGCAGCGGGGCCUGCUUACAAGCUGCUACUGAACGCAUCCAGAAGAGGCUGGGGCACACAGUUCUAAGUAAUGUUGCCAUCCUGGCAGCAGAGAAGAAACCAGUCCUGAACAAGAUGGAACUCAAAUGGACCAUAAGCUUUUUUCCUGCAGAAUACCCUCUGAAAAAAAAACAAACAGUUUCAAAGCUGUUCAGGGUAGAAAAGCCAAACAUUUUAAUUUCUUGAAUAUCAUAAAGGUAAAUAAAAUGUGUGCAGUAGAUUCUUCAUUAUUUAUCAGUGGUUUAGAAGUCCUUUACUUAAGAUACUCACACCUGCCUCCUUAACAGUCAAUGUGGAACAAGACUUUAUUUGCUGAGAGGUACUCUUUGAAGGUACAUCAUCACUGUUAUAAAAAAGGUUUCCAAGCUUUGGUCUCCUCGGUUUUUAUACUAACACUUAAGUUUUGCAUCCUUCCCUCUGCGUAUUCCACAGAAUUAUUCCCAAACCAUGUUUGAGAUGUAAAUACCAUCACCCAGUAUAAAAAUAGAAGUACUUAUCCUCAACACUUGCUGUAGUUACAAACUGGCUAAAUGAUGCUGCCUUCAUCCAUCUCAAAAGCUAUACACUUAAAAGCUACAAAAUACCAUCUAGAAUACCUUAAAUGUUACCCAGAAGGAGAAAGACACAUAAACAUCUUAAGUUUUCAUUUGCUACGGGGG